GACGAACGCUGGCGGCGUGCUUAACACAUGCAAGUCGAACGGAAAGGCCCUGCUUUUGUGGGGUGCUCGAGUGGCGAACGGGUGAGUAACACGUGAGUAACCUGCCCUUGACUUUGGGAUAACUUCAGGAAACUGGGGCUAAUACCGGAUAGGAGCUCCUGCUGCAUGGUGGGGGUUGGAAAGUUUCGGCGGUUGGGGAUGGACUCGCGGCUUAUCCGCUUGUUGGUGGGGUAGUGGCUUACCAAGGCUUUGACGGGUAGCCGGCCUGGGAGGGGUACCGGCCACAAUGGGACUGAGAGACGGCCCAGACUCCUACGGGACGCAGCAGUGGGGAAUAUUGCACAAUGGGCGGAAGCCUGAUGCAGCAACGCCGCGUGCGGGAUGACGGCCUUCGGGUUGUAAACCGCUUUCGCCUGUGACGAAGCGUGAGUGACGGUAAUGGGUAAAGAAGCACCGGCUAACUACGUG
rnacentral:rRNA from 1 species